AGUGAACGCUGGCGGUAGGCCUAACACAUGCAAGUCGAACGGCAGCACAGUAAGAGCUUGCUCUUACGGGUGGCGAGUGGCGGACGGGUGAGGAAUACAUCGGAAUCUACUUUUUCGUGGGGGAUAACGUAGGGAAACUUACGCUAAUACCGCAUACGACCUACGGGUGAAAGCAGGGGAUCUUCGGACCUUGCGCGAUUGAAUGAGCCGAUGUCGGAUUAGCUAGUUGGCGGGGUAAAGGCCCACCAAGGCGACGAUCCGUAGCUGGUCUGAGAGGAUGAUCAGCCACACUGGAACUGAGACACGGUCCAGACUCCUACGGGAGGCAGCAGUGGGGAAUAUUGGACAAUGGGCGCAAGCCUGAUCCAGCCAUACCGCGUGGGUGAAGAAGGCCUUCGGGUUGUAAAGCCCUUUUGUUGGGAAAGAGAAGCAGCAGGUUAAUACCCCGCUGUCCUGACGGUACCCAAAGAAUAAGCACCGGCUAACUUCGUG
rnacentral:rRNA from 1 species